GACGAACGCUGGCGGCGUGCUUAACACAUGCAAGUCGAACGAAGUGGCGAACGGGUGAGUAACGCGUAAUCAACCUGCCCUUCAGAGGGGGACAACAGUUGGAAACGACUGCUAAUACCGCAUACUGAAGGGGGGGACUGCGGCUGAUUAGCUAGUUGGAGGGGUAACGGCCUACCAAGGGGAUGAUCAGUAGCCGGUCUGAGGGGGUGGACGACCAACUUGGGACUGGUAACAGGCCCAAGCUCCUACGGGAGGCAGCAGUGGGGAAUCUUCCGCAAAGGGCGAAAGUCUGACGGAGCAACGCCGCGUGAGUGAUGGCGGCCUUCGGGUUGUAAAGCUCUGUUAAUCGGGACGCGGUACCGGAAUAGAAAGCCACGGCUAACUACGUGCCAGCAGCCGCGGUAAUUC
rnacentral:rRNA from 1 species